rnacentral:misc_RNA from 1 species
AAUGAAGAACGUAGCGAAAUGCGAUAAGUAAUGUGAAUUGCAGAAUUCAGUGAAUCAUCGAAUCUUUGAACGCACAUUGCGCCCGCCAGUAUUCUGGCGGGCAUGCCUGUUCGAGCGUCAUUACAACCCUCAGGCCCCCGGGCCUGGCGUUGGGGAUCGGCGGAAGCCCCCUGCGGGCACAACGCCGUCCCCCAAAUACAGUGGCGGUCCCGCCGCAGCUUCCAUUGCGUAGUAGCUAACACCUCGCAACUGGAGAGCGGCGCGGCCACGCCGUAAAACACCCAACUUCUGAAUGUUGACCUCGAAUCAGGUAGGAAUACCCGCUGAACUUAAGCAUAUCAAUAAGCGGAGGA